rnacentral:lncRNA from 10 species
AUCCCUAGAAUGAAUACCACUUCAUCAUGGACAAUUGGAGAAAAGGGUUGUCUUACCAAGGCUUUCACUGGAAUGGCAUGCUUUCCUUUAAGGAAUCAAAUUUGACUUAUAGAGCCAAUAAAAACCCCUUGGGAAACCUGGCUUCAUACCUUGUCUACACAGUCCUGUACAGAGUUGCUGACCUGUGGUAAGUAAAGAAUGUCACUUUCUAACAGAUCAGGAGGUCAAAGUUAUUUUGGGACCUCAAGAGAAGAGAAAUUUACCCCACUAGGUAUUUGAUGGUACAAAUCCAUGGCCGGCCUGGGGUUUAAAAAAGUCUUAUCUGAGAUUCCUUCUAUGGAACAAAGUUCCAUCAAAGCCAAGUUAAAAGCCUAUGUGAAAAAUAACUAUUCUUGUUGCACUUUAUGAUAAUAAUGAGGCCAAGUAUAAUAAGACUAAAGUUUAUUUUUUGGACAAAUCAAUCCUAUCAUGAUUUGUUUUUAACAAAAAUGAGGACUAGAGAGACAGAAAUUAUGUUUCAAAAGUUAUGGUACACCUAUCAUUAGAUUCUAGUCUCAUCAGUUGUUUUUAAGUUUUUGUCUGCAUUUUAGAACAACCCUGCUUAUUCCUGUGAACCAACCAGUGAUCUCUUGCUGCAGCUCAGAAGAAAUAAACAGGAUGGGCCAUCAUGCUCCAGAAGAUUCUCAGUGAGGGAUACUGUCCUCUAAAUUUUCAAGAGGCACCCUUCUACAGGGGACCCCUAGGCUGCCCAUCAGUGGGACAGGAAGGAUGUGAAAUCCUGCCCAUCUCCCUUUGACCUGGCUAUACACUGCUUUCACCAACACACAGAGUCACCCUCCUGCCCUCACAGCUAGCAAGAGGCCAAGACCCAGAGAAUCACCACCACUUUGUCAGUGGGAGGUAGUUAUAGAACACUGACCACCAAGUUUACCCCAAAGAUGUGGGGUAUUGGGCUCUUGACAGGGGGAAUGUUACAGACAGUUAGAUAGGCAUGAGUAGGGCAGAGGAAGGCUUCCCCCACCCACCAGGAAAAUCAGGUGAUGGUUCGACAAUUAUCACAUUGCCUCUCUGAAAAUGAUAAUUGGCAGCUGGUGCCAGGGGAAGGCCAGUUCCUGAUGGUCCACACCUGUUGCACUUAAGUGUUAAUUGAAUGCAGGCUCCAGGGAGAAACAACUUCCUGGGCAUGUGCAUUAAGAGACAAAAUGGGCCAGGCGCAGUGGCUGGCGCCUGUAAUCCCAGCACAUUGGGAGGCUGAGGCGCGCAGAUCAUGAGGUCAGGAGAUCGAGACCAUCCUGGCCAACAUGGUGAGACCCCCCCGUCUCCACUGAAAAUACAAAAAUUAGCUGG